GGUACGCGAGCUGGGUUCAGAACGUCGUGAGACAGUUCGGUCCCUAUCUGCCGUGGGCGUUGGAUGAUUGAAGGGAGUUGCUCCUAGUACGAGAGGACCGGAGUGAACGAACCUCUGGUGUUCGGGUUGUCACGCCAGUGGCACUGCCCGGUAGCUAAGUUCGGAAUCGAUAACCGCUGAAAGCAUCUAAGCGGGAAGCGAGCCCUGAGAUGAGUCAUCCCUGACCCCUUGAGGGUCCUAAAGGGCCGUUGGAGACCACAACGUUGAUAGGUGGGGUGUGUAAGUGCAGUGAUGUGUUGAGCUAACCCAUACUAAUUACCCGUGAGGCUUAACCAUACAACACCCAAGAAGUGUUCUG
rnacentral:rRNA from 1 species